rnacentral:rRNA from 1 species
UACAGAGGGGGCAAGCGUUAUUCGGAAUUAUUGGGCGUAAAGGGCGCGUAGGCGGCCUGACAAGUGGAAGGUGAAAUCCCCUCGGCUCAACUGAGGAACUGCCCUCCAAACUGUUUGGCUUGAGACCGGGAGAGGUGAGUGGAAUUCCCAGUGUAGCGGUGAAAUGCGUAGAUAUUGGGAGGAACACCAGUGGCGAAGGCGGCUCACUGGACCGGUACUGACGCUGAGGCGCGAAAGCGUGGGGAGCAAACGGG